CAUGGCCAGUCUCUGUGGGAGAGGGAGAAGAUAGAGUGGUGAACUGCACACUGGCUUAUGCCCGAAAGGGACACACGACCCUUCUCCUCACGUGGCACUGGACAAAGUCAGUCAGGUGGCUGCACCCAACUUCAAAAGGUAACAUACCUGUUUUGGCUAUAACAACCUGUGCUGGACCACCUUCCUACACAGAUACGCCUCUCACCCCAUCUGGGCUCUGAAAUAUCCUCUUCACCCUGCCUCGACGCCAACAUCUCGCACUAGGCUAUGCCUUUGCAAGAACACUCCCCUCACCCCACGUGGGCUCUGAAACCUCCUGCCGGGCUGCCCCUCCCACCCUCAAUCCUCAGCCCACCUGGGCCACCCUGCGCUGAGCCAUCCUCUCAGCCUGCUUUGGCUCUGACACUGAGCUAAGCUGACCCUCUGCAGGGGUGGCUCUCUUGAGCUGCCUGGGCACUGGCACCAGCUAUCCCACUCGUGGGAUGCCCUCCUCACUCCACUUUUGCGGUGUUCUAAUUCUUUAAAGAUUUCUAUUAUCUAUGUAUAUAGUAUCAGUUUUUCCUCAAACUAGAGGUCUGUGUAUGUAUUAUUGAUGAUCCAUCAGUAAUAAUGUGUUUUCAUUUCAAUGAUGAUCGAAAAAAAACUUACAUUAUAAAAUAUAAGCAUAUCUGGGAUGUUCGUUUUAUAACCACAUACUUUUAGUGUUGGUGCUUUGUGUUUAAAAUUGGGUUGGUACCGUGUGAUUAGUAAUGUGUCAAUAUUUAACUUUUAAACUGGUGGUAGUUUUAGAUUGGCAUUCCUGGCAUCAAAAUACAAAAACCAUCUUGAUUUCUGUUCAGUAAAAAUUAUAUUGCAUUUUCUUACCAACUAUAAAUCUAAAACUGCUCACUGA